AGAGCCUUCCCCAGCAGCCGCUCCCCAUCCCAGCAGCUUCUUUUCAAUGUCAAUUGAGAAUUGGGUUAAAAUCUCCAACUAUGUGCCCAUGAGAUGUGUUAGUCAGCUAUUGGUGCAUAACAAAUAACCCACAGACUAGAAGUUUUAAACAACAGCUCUCCCUUAUCUUUCAGGUUCUGUGGGUCAGGAAUUCAGGGACAACUUUGCUGGGGGAUUCUGGCUUGGAGUCUUGGGAGGUUGCAGGGGGCCGUGGUCUAAAGCUGGGCUAGAGGAGCUGCCUUCAAGAUGGCUCACUUCUGUGCUGUUGGUGGGAGGCCUGUGCCUUCAUAUUGAAUGUCCUCACGUGGCAGCUGGCUUACGCCAGAGUGAGCAUCCAAGAGAGAGAAGGGAGCCCCCAUGCCUGAGCUGAUGCCAUCUCAGAAACCGCAGAGGGUCACCUCUGUCACAGUCCGUUUGUUAGAGGUGAAUCACCAAGUACACGGCAAAGAUUCGACUCCACCUUUUGAAGGUGGAGGUGUAAAAAAAAAUGUGGACUUAUUUUAACCACCCUAGGGGUUUGUCUUAGGAGAAUGUUCUAGUGGUCAAGGUUGGAGCCCAUGUUGGGAGCCGAGCCUGAGAACCUUCGUGGAGUCCUACUGUGUGCAUCUCAUUGUGUAGGCAGCAGUCAUACAUGCCCGGGGAUCAUGGGGUACAGGAAGUGUGAGAUGUUUGGGGACUAGGUCACCGUAUAGAGAACUAAGGGGGAGGCUCAGUGCUGGGCAGAGUGCGGAUACAGGAGGAAGGAUUGCUUCAAAUUAGCACGUUCAUGGAGGGACCUCACCAAGGACCUGCCACGAACCGGGCUCCACAGGAUGGACGGGUUUACCCAUUCAGGGAUGGGAGCUGGAGUUGGGGAAAAUCUGAUCAUACUACAGGUGUUCAUCAGGCAUUUAUGGAGCACCUGCUGUGUGCUAGACACUGCACAUAUAUUAUCUUUAAUCUUCAUGAGAAUUUCCAGGAGGUGAGCACUAUGUCCCCAUUUUUGCAGAUGAAGAAACAAGCCCAAAGACGUGGUGACCCCUCUGAGACGGAGAGGCCCUCACCUAAGAGACAUGUUCAUUUCACAGAACCUGGAGACAGCUCUUGCCUUAGGAGCUUGCUGGCUUCUUCAAAGCAGGGCUUUUAUAUAACCAUCAGCUUCAGGGAGCAGGCAGCAGAGUGACGAAUCUCUUUACAGACGCCUUGUCAUUUUAUUGAAAAUUUUACAGAAGAGGCUCCUUCAUUGUCAAGUCCACACCCCACCCGAUACUUUGAAAAUAUGAUUCCAAAUGUUUUAAGAGUCACUUUGCACACCUCUCCCCUGGAACUGGCACUCUGUGCACUCCUGUGGGCUGCUUCCCCAAGUUGAUGCCCCCCGCCUCAUGUGUGGACAUGAUUGCGUUCACGUCCACAGCUGCUGUGGCAGAGCCAUCCCGGGCUCAGCACGUGAGACAUAAAGCCCAAGAGGUUUUCCUUUUCGUUCUUGGUGACAGGGUACAAAUGUCUCCCUUGCUUCUCCCUCCAGAACGUGGACACCUUAACAGCAACAACUGUAUCUCCGCAGCCUUAAGUGGCCUCUGAGAUCGCAGAUGUCAGUAACUAUUUGCUGAGUUAAUAGAUGGUCUCCAUUUAAAUGACUCUUGACCAGAGAGCAGAAAUUCGGCCAAGACACAGGGAGGGAGCUUGAAAAGAAGGGACGAUGGCGGGGGUGGGGGUUUCACACUCGUCAAUACGUAAAAACAAAAUAAAAACUCUUGGGCCCAAGACAGAAUAGACGGCAUCAAGAACAAAAUCUUUCCAUCUGAAAAUGCCUGGCUCUUGCGUUUGGGUCCUUUUUGGGUGCGUGGAUUUGCAGGUGACAGGAGGAAGUGCAGGCAGGUACCCAAACGAGUACCCCGUGGACCCUCCCUGAUCCCUGCACAGCCAGCCGGAGAGCAGCAGCCGACCACCUCUGGGGGAGAGGCACCUCCGUCCUGUCAUCAUCUCGAGCACAGAGGGGACAGGAACGAGCGCGGGUCUAUUAUAUUUUUUGCCAGAACCGACAGUAGCAUUGGUGAUGGGAGAAAUGUCACGGUGUAACAUUUAAAGAUUAAAAACAAAAAUCCACCGAGAGCAGGAGGCUGCCUUGGGAAGUGUCUGGAGAGGAUUCCUUCCUGUUCACGGGCAGCCCAGCCUGCACCCUGCCUGUGCCCUGUCUCCAAGGCCCGGGUCCAUUUCCUGGAUACUCCACGAGCUUCUGCUUUAACUGGCCACAUCAUCAAACAAUGAGAACCCCGCAUGAAUGAGGCAGGGCGCCUGGGAAUCGCAGAUGAGGUGAGACCUACGCCUCAUCCCCCAAAUAAACGCGGGGCAUUGACUUUUAGGGGCGCACCGGGCUUCUCUGUUGAAUGUCUUAUUCAGCAUCUCUGUUCUCUCUUGAAAAUGCUGCUCUUCAUUCAGAUCUGCAUGGCUGAGGGCUUUGGGAGGAAGAGGGUCUGGGUUGAGAGUUGGGUGUGCUUUCAGUUUGAGGCGCCCUUCCCAGUUUCCCAGGGUCAGAAGCAGGCUGUGGGCUGGGGGCGUGGCCUGCCCCGCUUUGGGGAGGAAGGGCAGGCUGCCAGGGCGAGCCGCUGUCUGCCUGUGGUUGCAAACCUCCGGGAGAGCAGUGAGCACUGUUGUCCCGUGUCCUUUCCCCAGCCCCAUACAGCUUGACCAACGUCAGCUGCAGCGACAAGUAGUCCCUCUCUGUUUUGACGUCCUCACCCAGGGGUUGGCAGACCGUGAUCCUCAGUCAGCUGGCCCGCUGUCUGUUUUUGUAAAUAAAGUUUUAUUGGAACAUUGUUUACAGAUCACCUAAGGGAGCUUUCCUGCUACAGUGGCCAUCUAGUCCCCUGCUACCCCAGAUGCAAAGGCCCCGCUGGAAAGAACUGUGCCCUCUGGGCAGCUCCUCCAGCAACCGCACCAUGCUCUGUGAGUGUAGACCUGUCAUCUCGAGGCUCUUCCUGCUGUGCUGGACACCCGUGUUUGGAUCGCUGCUCUGGCUCUCAUUGCCCGGGAACUUCUGUGGCUCUGUGCCUCAGUUUCCUCAUCUUCAAAGUGGGCACACUCAUAGUGCCUGCUCACAGAUUGGAGGAGAAGUGGCGGAGCCUGGCGCAGGCUGGCAGAGGGCACGCAUGAGAAAUGUCAGUUAUUAUUAUUCUUUUUGAAAAAAAAUCUUGCUGUGUUUAUUAUUCAUUAAACAAGAUUGCAGGACCGACUCGGUAGAAAUGGGCAGAGGGAUGCGGGCACCAUCCCAUGUAUUUUAUACCUGCCCUGCCAGACCCCCCUGGGAGGGCUUCCAGAUGAGGUCCCUUUUGUCAUAAAUCCAAAUGUCUCUUCAUGCCUAUCUGCAUUUUGAUGCUGGGAUUAGAUGCUCUGUGUUGUGUGGAUGUUGGAAUAUUUAUUUAUUUAUCUUGUUUUCAGAUCUGUUCUUUGUUCUAAUUGGCCAUCUGUGACAGUAGGAUGCACUCUGACACAUCAUGCGUACAUGGGGGUCUAACUUCUCAUUCUUCUGGUUGUGCAUGGUUGGAAUCACACCAGUGUGUGAUCAUGUGUGUACAUAGGGUGAUCAUAUCCGAUUCAUUCUACUAUCCUUCCUACCCACCCUCCAUUCCUUUCUGCCUAAUCCAGAGCACCUCUGUUCUUCCUCCCUAGCUCCCUCUCCCCCCUUUAUUGUGAAUUAGCAUCCACAUCUCAGAGAAAAAAAUUGGCCUUGGUAUUUUUGAGAUUGGCUUAUUUGCUUAGCAUGAUCGGGUAUCGAUUAUCAAUGAUGACAGUGGUAUUUCCAAUGGCUUGGCAGAACCCAGAGGCACCCCGGCUCGUCCUUUGGAAAAUGUACUAUGUCCUCGCCUCUCCAGGGGAGGAACGUCCUGCACUUCUCGAGGGGACUGUGUGGGUGUAGGAGGAGGCGCCCCUGGAGUGAUUUGUCCAGGCCAAGACAGUGGGGACAGACGACGGUGGAAAGGGACACGUGUCCAAGGACAAGGGAGCCUCUCUGGAAGUCCUUGGAGAGGGAACACAU
rnacentral:lncRNA from 1 species